GCGAGUGUGUGUGUGUGUGUGUGUGUGUGUGUGUGUGUGUGUGGAGGGAGGGGGGAGUCGCGCUUCACAUCAAACGUCCCCUGUGGCCAUGGCAACAGCUUUGGGAGAGGGGGUGCCCGUCCUCAUGCCAGCAGCGGGCAGCCUGCCACUCUUGCCGGGGUCCAGCGCUCCGCUGGGGUAAGGUCCGGCAUUAGUGCUGAAUCCAGUUGCGCCCGGACCAGAAGAGGGCCAUUUUCUAUUCUUCCACCACCCCACCUGGGCAGGUUGGACCCGGUUCACCUGACCGCUCACAGACGUGUUCUCACUCACACUCGACCGACGCAUGCUGGAGCAGAGCACACCCAGGCAGCACCCACGCAGGACCCACCCACCUGCCCGGUUCCUCGCCUGCAUACACGACAAACUGAGGCUUCAAAGCAGCCAUGAGAGCUUCAGAAAAUGACAAACCCACCACGGAUCCAGUGCGCAUCUAGAGGGCGCAAACUGGUGACCAGCGAACCAGACGGGAUACAAAAAUGUUUGUGAGGUUCCCACAGUAUUUUAAAAAUUUGAAGUACUUGUCAAAAAGAUUGGAAGAGUUCGCAGAGAAAUCUGGGUUUUCCGUCUCUCUCUCCCUCUCUCUAAAACGAUAUUCUUGUCAUGGCCUUUCCAUGUCUCUUGAAUAGGGGCUGGCAUUCUGCAUGUAGGGAGAAGCCCUGAUCAGUGUACACAGGACUGGGGUCCAGGCAAAUGUAGGCCCUCUUCUCCUUUUCGUCAAUAUCACCAAGUCCAUUUAUCAUCAAUCUUAUCCUUUUACGCUUUUUUCCUACAGUAAAGAGGAAAGUGUGGCCAAGAGCAGUGACUCACGCCUGUAAUCCAGGCACUUUGAAAGGUAAAGGUGGGAAGAUCACUUGAGUCCAGGAGUUCGGGAGACCAGCCUAGGCCCAGCCCUGGACGGACAUACAAGCAUCUGUGCUGCCCACCAUCCAGCCAACACAGGCAGCAGGAUAUUUCCUUCUAGUCAGACUGGGUGUUCUAAACCAUGCAGAUAAAAGGCCACUUGCCCAGGAAGGGGAAGCAAGAAGGUCCUGGUUUCACUGUGAACACAAAUGACUGUUUUGGCAGUCUACCUUACUAUCCACCAGACUAGUCUUUCAGAGAAAAUGCCAGAGGCAGUAACUGAAAGCAGCUUGUCGGAGUCAUCAGUUAGUCACUGAAGCAAAUCAUUUGAGAUAAGAUAAAGGCGAGCUCUUGACAUUCCUGGGACCAGAAGACCUGCCCUGCGAGACUGUGAGCGGCUCAGCUUCUCCUACCCUGGGGAAGGUAAUUGAUGAGUUAAUUAAUAUGCGCAGCAGAUGCAUCACUGUCAAUAGAAGAUGGACUGCUUCUGGUCCUCACUAUCAUUACUAAGAUGAUCUCAGCCUUUCAACUUGGUUGGGAGAAACCA